ensembl:lncRNA
GCUGCCGGAGCCUGGCUCUCCUCUUACGCGGGGGGCUGCGGGCAAUUGGGGCCGACAACUUGCAGGCCCACCUUGGGACGCAUGCUCGCUCGAGAGCUGGGGCUGCAGGGUGCAGUGGGACAGUAGGACCGCGAAAGCCUGGGCUUCGAGCCUCGGGCUUUCUGUCUUUAGGCAAAGUGCGGUUUCCACGGCUGCAGGUUUCGCUGCAUAAGGGAAGACUCGGAUUUCGAACCCUCGGCAGGCCAGCUUCUAGCUCUCUGUCCCUUCCAGAUCUCUCCGGUUGCUUCUGUCUUUCCUCCUCCCUCUCCCGUCGCUAUCCCGCGCCCCACGGAGGAAGGUCGUGGUGCGGGAGUUGGGGGAUACUUUCUUCCUGGGCUCCGGCUACGCAGACCCAUCGCCUGCCUCGAGUUCCUGUGCCCUCAGACGCCACGGGAAAACUUGCAGGGACAUCUAGCGCCAGGCGUGGGGAACUGCGCGCCGCCGGGCCGGGAAGUGGAGCCGAACACUGCCACUCCGCCUCUCUCUCGGCUCCCGCUUCGUGCUUGGGCACUUUCCUCACCUUCAUACCUUUGCCCUGCCGGACAAGAGCAAAAUUUGAAAGAUCAUCUACUAGGAUGAAAGGAGAGAAUAUGACUUCCAGAACAGCACUGAUGCUUAAAAAGGAUGCCUCUGGAGGAAAAGGAGGAAGAGGAGCAAGUGAUUGGAGAGUACAGUGGGACUUUGGGCACCAAAGGGCCAUCCUGAGUUUUUCACCAAAAUCAGGAACAGCGGCAAAACUGGUUUCACUGAAGAAGACAUGCAUGUUUGGAGACACAUGUAGUCUCCAAGGAUUUUCACUUAACAAAGCCUAUUUCUGUUGUUAAGACCCCUGCAUAAUGCACCCACACACAAACACAAGGCCUGGUCUGUGCUCCUGGCCAGCUAAAGAAACUGAUUCCCAGUAAGUUUAAACCUGAAUGAAAUGUUUCUGCAAAUUCAGCCUCAAAAUUCCUCCUCUACCUGGCAUCCCUGGCUUGUAAACUAUGUGUCUCAUUAGUUCAUAAACAAAGCAGCCCUGACUUUGCCUGGUACUCAACCACAGCCCUAGGAGCCAGUAGCAUGUGUCCAGAGGUGCUGGGCUUGGGAGCCCAACUGGACCAAAUCAGACCCCCUUUCCUCAGGGCAAAGCCCUCCCACAGGGCUGGGACCCCAGAGGCCAUGCUGGAAGCAGGUUCAGCAGCAGGAUAUCAAUGGGCAAAGCUCCUAAUUCAAAAUCUUCCUGGCUUCUUAACAACCAUUAGGAUGGACAGAGAAACCUUUUGCCCUGCUCUGAGAGGGUCCCACAGGACUUUUGGAAGCAGAGCCACCAUUGAGAAAUCCCUUUCAACCUGAGUAGUAAUUCAGAUUUUUCUCCCACUCCUGCACAACUUAAUUUGCUGAAUGGAAAAUUCAGCCAGAAGUGAUGGGCUGCUUGAAAUCAACAAAACUUGACACAUUCUUCCCAUUUUCGUUUUACUUUAUUGUUAAACACAUAAUUGAUCAUUAAAAUGUACUUAUCAGUGAGAAAAUGAAGCAGAAGCCCAAGGCAAAAAACCACAGGGAUAUUUAAUUUUAAGAGACUGAAAGUUUGUUGGUUCUAGUUAUAUCUUAGAAACAUUUCAACGAAUUUGUUUUUUGGAGUCAUAAAAAGUUAAAACUAUCUUCAUGUUUUCUCUGUCUGAGGAAGAAAAAAUGAGACAAAGGGAAAAUAAAAGCAUUUCAUGGUGGCCCAUGGUUGGUGGUUUGGUACCAAAAUUGUUUCAUAAAGACCCAGCCAAACCCUCUUUAAAAGUUAGCAAUCCCGUCGCCUCGCCACAGUUGGCCUUUUUAAAAUGCCGGUUGAACUUUCAUUGCUGACUUUUGCCUUCUUUUCUCAAAUAGUGAAAAAAUUGUUCUCAUCAGCAAACUUCUAUUCCCUAUGAUUUCCUGUAAAUUCAGGCCCCCCCAUCUCAAAUUUGAUCAUGAACAUGUAUAGAACUUCAAAAAGAUGAAACGAAUUAUCUUGCUUUUCCUUUCCAACACCCCUCUCAUAACUUUCCCGUUUAUUUGAGCCUUUUAUGGUUACUGCGUUUUGCAUGUCAACACUCCUAACACCAGCAGCCCACCCUGAAAUGCCAGGCCAG